rnacentral:lncRNA from 1 species
CUCGUAUUUUUCACGGUUGCUUUGGUGUCUCUUAAGUCAAAAGCAGUUACAUUAGCCAAUCUUUCUUCCUAUUCUAAAGUAAUUUCAAUUAAAGUCACUCGUCAAAAUCUUAACGUUUCAGGGAAGUACUUUUUCUGGAACUCCAAUCCCAUAUUUCCUUUUUUAACACAAACCCAAUUAACGUUUUGAUUAAUAUGAAACCAAAUUCUACCUAAUGCACCAAGACCUGGCAGCUAAUUAAGUCCAAUGGUUGCUUGCUCACAGAAACGGCAAAAAGAAAAAAAAUAUAUAAACAUUGUAGUGGUUUCAUAAUUUCUACUAACUUUAUCAUACUGGGUACACAAAGAAAAAAACUUGAUAGCAUUAACUUUAUUUCACGCAAUCCCUAAACAAAUGAACCAAAUAAGUAAUGCGUAGAGGGAACUACAUUAAACUCAUUAUGAUAAGGCAAAUUUGAAAAACUUGACAAAAUGAUCCAGUGUUAGCUGCACAUGUCUGGGCAAUGUAAGUAAUGAAAUGUUUUGAGUUCUGGGAUAGUUUUCCUUUCUGAUUCGAGAAACACAGAAUGGUAUACAUAUGUCACAUAUUUGUAAAGUUUUUGUUGGACUUUUACACAAUAUAAAUGAUCAUUUUCUAAAAUGUAAUUCUGUACGUGAUCGUAUAAAUUGAUGGAAUUGCAUAUACGUACCCUUGAGUUAAUUUCUUGCAAAACUCAAAAGCGGUAAUGGAUGCUGAUCUGAUGCGGUCUUAUUGCAGCGAGUCAGGUGCAGCAGGCAGAAAAUGGUGGGAAUAAUUACAUUGUUGUUUUUGUGAUAAAGGGUGGAAGCACCGCCAAGCCAAUUUAAGAAAGGAAAAAGAAAUUUGAAAUUUAUAGCCAUGGGAGAAGGUGCACAUACUUUAGGCAUCUGAUGCAAAUCAGAACUAAAAAAUGAAGAGAAAUCUGGAUUUAUAUAUAUAUACUGAUCUAUUCUUAUCUUUGUACCUUGUUUUAAUUUAUUUUAUUAAGUAAAAUCAAUCACUUGUUAUCUUUAUUUUUCAGACAAUCCCGAGGGGUAAACCAGUGAAUUUAUAUAGAAAACAACGGAACUACGAAGCUGUUCUGUUUCAGCUUUACACGUAAUUGGCCGAAGGAAAUAGUCAGGUGGGGAUAAUCAAAAACCUCGUUCACUUCUCAUCUCGACACGUGUCAAUGUCCAUUUAUUUAAUUACCUCACCCCUCCUCUUCUAAGUCUGGGAUUUCCCUUAUUUAUUUUUUUAAGAAAAAAAAUGUCUAAGGUUUUCCCCCGUGGCCUCUCCACCGUCUGAUCAAAGAAAUAGGGUAUAAUAACA